UGUAGAGUUUGAUCCUGGCUCAGAUUGAACGCUGGCGGCAUGCCUUACACAUGCAAGUCGAACGGUAACAGGUUAAGCUGACGAGUGGCGAACGGGUGAGUAAUGUAUCGGAACGUGCCCAGUCGUGGGGGAUAACUGCUCGAAAGAGCAGCUAAUACCGCAUACGACCUGAGGGUGAAAGCGGGGGAUCGCAAGACCUCGCGCGAUUGGAGCGGCCGAUAUCAGAUUAGGUAGUUGGUGAGGUAAAGGCUCACCAAGCCGACGAUCUGUAGCUGGUCUGAGAGGACGACCAGCCACACUGGGACUGAGACACGGCCCAGACUCCUACGGGAGGCAGCAGUGGGGAAUUUUGGACAAUGGGCGCAAGCCUGAUCCAGCCAUGCCGCGUGCGGGAAGAAGGCCUUCGGGUUGUAAACCGCUUUUGUCAGGGAAGAAAAGGUUCUGGCUAAUACCUGGGACUCAUGACGGUACCUGAAGAAUAAGCACCGGCUAACUACGUGCCAGCAGCCGCGGUAAUACGUAGGGUGCAAGCGUUAAUCGGAAUUACUGGGCGUAAAGCGUGCGCAGGCGGUUAUGCAAGACAGAGGUGAAAUCCCCGGGCUCAACCUGGGAACUGCCUUUGUGACUGCAUGGCUAGAGUACGGUAGAGGGGGAUGGAAUUCCGCGUGUAGCAGUGAAAUGCGUAGAUAUGCGGAGGAACACCGAUGGCGAAGGCAAUCCCCUGGACCUGUACUGACGCUCAUGCACGAAAGCGUGGGGAGCAAACAGGAUUAGAUACCCUGGUAGUCUACACUGUAAAUUCUGAGUGCUGUAAUUUAGAAAAUAAAUUUUGGAUUUUUUAAGCUAACGCCAUAAGCAUUCCGCCUGAGGAGUACGAUUGCAAAAUUGGAACUCAAAGGAAUUGACGGGAGCCUACAACGAGUGGUGGAGCAUGUGGUUUAAUGCGAUAAUCCGCGCAAAACCUUACCAACCCUUGACAUAUUGAAAAAUAAUUUAAACUAAUAAAUUUCUUUUAUUAUUAAUGUUAAUUAAAAAAUUAAUAAUUUUUCAUUACAGGUGUUGCACGACUGUCGUCAGUUCGUGUCGUGAGAUGUUUGGUUCAUUCCUUUAAACGAGCGUAACUCUUGUUUUUAAAAUUUACUUCUAAUUUUUGAUUUAUAUUGAAAAUUUUGUUUUAAAAAGACUGUUUGUUGAGUAAAACUUUAAAGGAAGGUGAGAAUUAAGUCAAGUCACUGUGGCCCUUAUGGGUUGGGCUACACACGUGCUACAAUGAAAAUGACAAAAAGUAACAAAAAAUUUUAGUUAAUCUUUAAAAAUUUUCUUAGUUCGAAUUGUAAACUGCAACUCGUUUACAUGAAGAUGGAAUCACAAGUAAUCGCAAAUCAGAACGUUGCGGUGAAUACGUACCUUGGCUUUGUACACACCGCCCGUCACAUGCAGAAAGUUAGUUUUACUUGAAAAUUUA
rnacentral:rRNA from 1 species